CUCCGUAGGUGAACCUGCGGAGGGAUCAUUACAAGUGACCCCGGUCUAACCACCGGGAUGUUCAUAACCCUUUGUUGUCCGACUCUGUUGCCUCCGGGGCGACCCUGCCUUCGGGCGGGGGCUCCGGGUGGACACUUCAAACUCUUGCGUAACUUUGCAGUCUGAGUAAACUUAAUUAAUAAAUUAAAACUUUUAACAACGGAUCUCUUGGUUCUGGCAUCGAUGAAGAACGCAGCGAAAUGCGAUAAGUAAUGUGGAUUGCAGAAUUCAGUGAAUCAUCGAAUCUUUGAACGCGCAUUGCGCCCCCUGGUAUUCCGGGGGGCAUGCCUGUUCGAGCAUCAUUUCACCACUCAAGCCUCGCUUGGUAUUGGGCAACGCGGUCCGCCGCGUGCCUCAAAUCGACCGGCUGGGUCUUCUGUCCCCUAAGCGUUGUGGAAACUAUUCGCUAAAGGGUGUUCGGGAGGCUACGCCGUAAAACAACCCCAUUUCUAAGGUUGACCUCGGAUCAGGUAGGGAUACCCGCUGAACUUAAGCAU
rnacentral:rRNA from 1 species